GAUGAACGCUGGCGGCGUGCCUAAUACAUGCAAGUCGAGCGAACGGACGAGAAGCUUGCUUCUCUGGUGUUAGCGGCGGACGGGUGAGUAACACGUGGAUAACCUACCUAUAAGACUGGGAUAACUUCGGGAAACCGGAGCUAAUACCGGAUGAUAUUUUGAACCGCAUGGUUCAAAAGUGAAAGACGGUCUUGCUGUCACUUAUAGAUGGAUCCGCGCUGCAUUAGCUAGUUGGUAAGGUAACGGCUUACCAAGGCAACGAUGCAUAGCCGACCUGAGAGGGUGAUCGGCCACACUGGAACUGAGACACGGUCCAGACUCCUACGGGAGGCAGCAGUAGGGAAUCUUCCGCAAAGGGCGAAAGCCUGACGGAGCAACGCCGCGUGAGUGAUGAAGGUCUUCGGAUCGUAAAACUCUGUUAUUAGGGAAGAACAUAUGUGUAAGUAACUGUGCACAUCUUGACGGUACCUAAUCAGAAAGCCACGGCUAACUACGUG
rnacentral:rRNA from 1 species